UACGUAGGGUGCGAGCGUUAAUCGGAAUUACUGGGCGUAAAGCGUGCGCAGGCGGUUUUGUAAGCCAGAUGUGAAAUCCCCGGGCUUAACCUGGGAACGGCAUUUGGGACUGCAAGGCUUGAGUUUGGCAGAGGAGACUGGAAUUCCUGGUGUAGCAGUGAAAUGCGUAGAUAUCAGGAGGAAUACCGAUGGCGAAGGCAGGUCUCUGGGCAGUAACUGACGCUGAGGAGCGAAAGCGUGGGGAGCGAACAGG
rnacentral:rRNA from 1 species